UGUACUGUGUUGUAGGUGCUAACAGUGGCUUCAUUUACAUAAAAAUGUAUUUCAGGGUAGACCGAAAGAAAGGAUUGAAGAUAGGAGAGAAUUACAGAUGACUACCAGGCAAAAGAGUUCAUUCACUACAUAGCAGAGGAUGAGAGAAAAAAGACGAGGGCCAGAUUAUCAGAUGUCAAGUUCAUCUCAGUCAUGUCAGAUGAUCUCUGGACAGUGCAGUGAUGGAAGAAGAAAUGGUCUACGUCACAAGUGCCACUGAGGGCAAGGUCAAAGCUGAUUUACAUUCAAAGCCAGAUGCUGCAAAUCUAGCUGAAGCAGUGUGUAGUAUAAUGGGAAGUGGAGUCAGCACUCAAUGGAGAAACAAGCAAGUGGCAAUCACCAUAGAUGGAGCAUCUGUAAUGACAGGGGUAAACAACGCUGAAGUUACUAAACUUGGAGGAGGUAUGUUCAUUUAUAGCCUACUAAAACCAGCAGUGUAGAUGGAUUAUUUAAUGUUUGCUUUCUUUUCACCACUGCUAGAUUUAGUGAUGUAAACAGUGGUGUCCUGCAGGAGAUGCGGCUGACCAGUUUCCAGUGCUGGCCAGAGACAGACACCAGUUCAGGUUAGCAAUUCACAUGUAAAGAGCAAAUCUUCAUCAGUCACUUCCGACCUCUUUUACUGUCUGCUGGAGUGAAUGUGGAGUUGAUCCCUGAUCAAUGGACAGUUCUCAAGACUGAACUUCACACAGCAGGAGCCUGCUGCAGGAAGCUUUGAGAAGACCUGGUCUACUGUGAACAGAAUACUGCGCCGUCAUGUCCUGAUGUCCUUGAUGUUUCUGAUGCUCUCCUCACAAUCCCUGUAUCUACAGCUGACUGUGAAAGAGGGUUCAGUGUUAUGAAGCAGCCCAUAAGUACAAGCAUCAAAUCAUCAUGAAGAAGAUAAAUCUGCAGAGACAAAGUUUAUUGAAGGACAGAGAGAACAUGAGAGAUCUAGAACCCUGCAGAACCAAACACACUGAAGAACAAACAGCUUGUGUUUAUUAUUUUAUUGAAUCUGUAUCUAUCUGUAUUUUUAGGUUCUACUGUUAGUGUUAUCUUUAUGCACCGUGAGCCUGAGAGUAACACUAUUUCAAUUCUCUGUAUUUAUGUACUGUACAUGUGAAGAAUUGAUAAUAUAACAGACUUCAUUAUAGUCUGUUAAACCAUGUUAUUUGCUUCUAACCAAUUUAUUUCUGAAUUUGUACAUUCCUAUUGUUUAUUAUUUUCUUUUAUUUUUUUAUUUUUAAUA